AACGAACGCUGGCGGCAGGCCUAACACAUGCAAGUCGAGCGUACCCUUCGGGGUUAGCGGCGGACGGGUGAGUAACGCGUGGGAAUAUGCCCUUCUCUACGGAAUAGUCCUGGGAAACUGGGGGUAAUACCGUAUACGCCCUUUGGGGGAAAGAUUUAUCGGGGAAGGAUUAGCCCGCGUUGGAUUAGGUAGUUGGUGGGGUAAUGGCCUACCAAGCCGACGAUCCAUAGCUGGUUUGAGAGGAUGAUCAGCCACACUGGGACUGAGACACGGCCCAGACUCCUACGGGAGGCAGCAGUGGGGAAUCUUAGACAAUGGGGGCAACCCUGAUCUAGCCAUGCCGCGUGAGUGAUGAAGGCCUUAGGGUUGUAAAGCUCUUUCAGCUGGGAAGAUAAUGACGGUACCAGCAGAAGAAGCCCCGGCUAACUCCGUG
rnacentral:rRNA from 1 species